rnacentral:tRNA from 1 species
GGAUGGUUGUCAGAGUGGCUUAUUGAGUUUCUUUGCUAAAGAAAUGUUGUUGCAAAACAACCACAGGUUCAAAUCCUGUACCAUCCUCCA